rnacentral:tRNA from 1 species
GCCAUCGUUCCGAGGACGGGACGCAGCGCUACGAACGCUGUGGCGAGGGUUCAAUUCCUUCCGGUGGUA